rnacentral:rRNA from 1 species
GACGAACGCUGGCGGCGUGCUUAACACAUGCAAGUCGUACGGUAAGGCCCUUUCGGGGGUACACGAGUGGCGAACGGGUGAGUAACACGUGAGUAACCUGCCCACAACUUUGGGAUAACGCUUGGAAACUGGUGCUAAUACUGGCUAUGUGCUCCUGCUGCAUGGUGGGGGUUGGUAAGCUCCGGCGGUUGUGGAUGGGAUUGCGGCCUAUUAGCUUGUUGGUGGGGUAGUGGUCUACCAAGGCGGCGACGGGUAGUAGGCCUGGGAGGGUGACCGGCCACAAUGGGACUGGGAGACGGCCCAGGCUCCUACGGGAGGCAGCAGGGGGGAAUAUUGCACAAGGGGCGCAAGCCGGAUGCAGCAACGCCGCGUGCGGGAUGACGGGCUUCGGGUUGGAAACCGCUUUCAGCAGGGACGAAGCUUUUUGUGACGGUACCUGCAGAAGAAGCACCGGCUAACUACGUG